CUUGAGGCCAAGAGUUUGAGACCAGCCUGGGCAACAUAAUGAGACCCUGUCUCUACAGAAAAUUAAAAAAUAAAAAUUAUCCAGGUGUGGUGAUACACACUUGUAGUCCUGGCUAUUUGGGAAGCUGAGGUGGGAGGGUUGCUGGAGCCCAGAAGUUCGAGGUUACAGUUAGCUAUGAUCAUGCCACUGCAUUCCAGCCUGAGUGACAAAGCGAGACCCUGUUUCUAAAAAAAAAAAAAAAAAAAAGUAAUAAAAUAAAAAUAUUGUAAUAGUUUAUCCUUCUAUAUUUGCAUGUUUCUUCUUUUUGUAUUAUCAUAUUUUGACAUCUGG
rnacentral:lncRNA from 10 species